rnacentral:misc_RNA from 1 species
GAAAUGCGAUAAGUAAUGUGAAUUGCAGAAUUCAGUGAAUCAUCGAAUCUUUGAACGCACAUUGCGCCCCCUGGUAUUCCGGGGGGCAUGCCUGUUCGAGCGUCAUUUCACCACUCAAGCCUCGCUUGGUAUUGGGCGACGCGGUCCGCCGCGCGCCUCAAGUCGACCGGCUGGGUCUUUCGUCCCCUCAGCGUUGUGGAAACUAUUCGCUAAAGGGUGCCGCGGGAGGUCACGCCGUAAAACAACCCCAUUUCUAAGGUUGACCUCGGAUCAGGUAGGGAUACCCGCUGAACUUAAGC